UCGACGCGGAUACUACCUGCUGUGACCGCCGUAUCAGAAGACACUUUUCCUGUACGGGCGGAACCAACAACAGCGAAGUUCAAAAAACCCGACUAGUAGCUAAAACUCAGCAUUCAUAGAGUUAAACGUCCCCGUCCGUGACUUGUACAUAACAAUCCAAGCAUCUCCUAAGCGUCUUUCUCCCCCUUCGUAAGGCCAUCGCGUCCACCAACGCACGUCUUACAUCCGUUGAAGCUGCGAUGAGUAAUAUGAACGCUGAAGUAAUUCAUGAACAUCCGCUGCGUUUGCCUAGCAGUGUCGUAAAGGAGGUCGCGUCGGCAUCAGGCCAUCAACGUUGCGCCCAGGACAACACUUGCUGCAGCCAAGAAACAGAAAGUAUAUCUCUAUUCGUUCAUCCCCUUGGUCUUAGGGUUGCCCCUAAGACGACGUAGAUACCACCUCCUGACACCGCCGUACCGGAAAGCACUUUUCCGGUACGGGCAGAGCCAGCAGCAUUCCAGGUUCAGAAUUGAACCCAAAGGCAGAAAUCACCAUUCUGAGAGUUGAACGUCGCCAUCCAUGAUUUAGACAUACCAUUCCAUGGCCUGUGCAUGCGCGUCCGUGUCCUUCACUACGUUGCCAUCACGUCCACCAACGCACACUUGACAUCCGUCCUGUCCAGAGCCGUCGUCGCGAGCUUCGACAACAUGAAUGUAAGCAACAUUCGGAACAUCCGUCCUGUUUGCAUGGGAUUGUUGUCCUCCCGCCGGCGGAGGGCCACUCAACGUAUUGCUUUAGAAUUCCUACCCAAGCCUAUAACACAAACAUAAUAACAUUGUCCUAGCAUUCCAUAGCCCUACUUGACUUGCCUACAAACGAGUUGCCCCGGUCGGACCCUCCAAGUCUAGCCCAGUAGCUUACUGUGGGCUGACGUUAGUGAACAUGGAAUGCAAGCUGUGUGUGUGCUCAUCCCCUUUGAAAAAGGUUUGACUACGACUUGACACACAGACUCCCUCCUGCAACAAAUGUACAUUUUCCGUACGAGCGUGACGAGCAACAUAAGAGAUCCAGAACCGACCACACCGGCAGAAUUCAUCGUUCAGUUCCUUAAACCUUCAUUUACGGUUUCCCUACAAACAGCUCCAUGCCUUGGAUAUGCGUCUGUUUUCUUCCUUACGAACAUCACAUUUUACGUUCGUCAGGGCCAGAGUCUUUGUGGCAAUCUUUCAUAUUCAGCACGCAAUGAACCCUUCAUGGACACCAGCUGCAUUAGCCUGGCUUGUCGUCCUUGCGGCAGCCUGGGCAAAUGGCCCAACGCGAUUUAAGUAUGCUGCUGCUUGCGGCCAAGAAACAAGCAUUCCAAAACUGUCAUAUCAUCCCCUGGUUUCGUUGUAUUUGGUUUGCAUACAAGUCGACGCGGAUACUACCUGCUGUGACCGCCGUAUCAGAAGACACUUUUCCUGUACGGGCGGAACCAACAACAGCGAAGUUCAAAAAACCCGACUAGUAGCUAAAAGUCAGCAUUCAUAGAGUUAAACGUCCCCGUCUGUGACUUGUACAUAACAAUCCAAGCAUCUCCUAAGCGUCUUUCUCCCCCUUCGUAAGGCCAUCGCGUCCACCAACGCACGUCUUACAUCCGCCCAGUACAGUGCCGUUGAAGCUGUGACGAGUAAUAUGAACGCUUAAGUAAUUCAUGAACAUCCGCUGCGUUUGCCUAGCAUUGUCGUAAAGGAGGUCGCGUCGGCAUCAGGCCAUCAACGUUGCGCCCAGGACAACACUUGCUGCAGCCAAGAAACAGAAAGUAUAUCUCUAUUCGUUCAUCCCCUUGGUCUUAGGGUUGCCCCUAAGACGACGUAGAUACCACCUCCUGACACCGCCGUACCGGAAAGCACUUUUCCGGUACGGGCAGAGCCAGCAGCAUUCCAGGUUCAGAAUUGAACCCAGAGGCAGAAAUCACCAUUCUGAGAGUUGAACGUCGCCAUCCAUGAUUUAGACAUACCAUUCCAUGGCCUGUGCAUGCGCGUCCGUGUCCUUCACUACAUUGCUGCUUGCGGCCAAGAAACAAGUGAUGCAAAACGUUGCCUCAUGUCCAUCCGUCCGGUCCACACACGUAAGAGCAAUUUUCCAUAACACGGAUGUAAGCACCGUUCGGGAUGUCCGUCGUGUUUGCCUCAGGAAGUCGUCCUCCCGGCGGCGGAUCGGACCCUAAGCACCGGCCGGUACCAGCUGGUACCAGCUCCUGGAGCCGCUUAAUCGAUGCUGAUCGUGAUGUGUAAUUGGUCCAGCAUAAAGCACAUUCUUCAUCAUCCGGAAGGGAUCCCUUAGCCGUAGUACAUGUAAAGGAUGCGCAGGACAAGCAGUGUAAGAGGUACUCGGAAAAGAACGCAAAAAAGACUGUUCCGUCCAAAUAGCUAACAAGCUGUACCUUGGCGGAUUGCAGGGCGCUUCUAACAUACAUGCCAUCCUUUGGAAGUCAUGUUGUAGGCUUGUCCUGUUUGGUUUAUGUUGGCAUUGCAUUAAGAAGUUCAACGUGAUACCUGCAGGUUAACUGUUUACUGAUAACUACUUAUUCGGCGGCGUGCGCAUAUCAUUCCCUUACUUCGCCGGCAGGUCCAUGGAAAGUCCCCGAAAAGAUUACAUAACGUUGCAAAACUCCUUUCAGUGCUUUCGGAAAAGAGGUCCUAGAUCUUGAGACCCUGGUAAGCCAGAAAUCGCUGACGGCUAGCGCUGUAAGCGUACCUUUUCCAUCUCCUGUAUUUUCAAAGCAUACACACGCGCGAUACUUAAGAAUACGAAAAUUUUAAACAGUUUAACAGUUCAUGUGGAAGCGUUUGCGGUGCAACUGGCGCGAACAGGACACCAGAGGUCACAGGAAUUACAGCUCUUAUGACUACUAGCAGUAUGUGUGCGUGGUUGUUACAGCAGUAGAUCUUAGGGACGAGGGGUACCUGACGGCAAUGCAUGGGCUCCAUCGAUGCAUGUGCCUCGGCAUGAAGGGUGAAUACAAUACGUUUCAUAUGCACAGACCUCAUAGUUUGCAGCAUUUAAGGGAGGUCAAAUNNNNNNNNNNNNNNNNNNNNNNNNNNNNNNNNNNNNNNNNNNNNNNNNNNUUGCCUAGCAGUGUCGUAAAGGAGGUCGCGUCGGCAUCAGCCCAUCAACGUUGCGCCCAGGACAACACUUGCUGCAGCCAAGAAACAGAAAGUGUAUAUGUAUUCGUUCAUCCCCUUGGUCUUAGGGUUGCCCCUCAGACGACGUAGAUACCACCUCCUGGCACCGCCGUACCGGAAAGCACUUUUCCGGUACGGGCAGAGCCAGCAGCAUUCCAGGUUCAGAAUUGAACCCAAAGGCAGAAAUCACCAUUCUGAGAGUUGAACGUCGCCAUCCAUGAUUUAGACAUACCAUUCCAUGGCCUGUGCAUGCGCGUCCGUGUCCUUCACUACGUUGCCAUCACGUCCACCAACGCACACUUGACAUCCGUCCUGUCCGGAGCCGUCGUCGCGAGCUUCGACAACAUGAAUGUAAGCAACAUUCGGAACAUCCGUCCUGUUUGCAUGGGAUUGUCGUCCUCCCGCCGGCGGAAAAGCCACUCAACGUAUUGCUUAAGAAUUCCUACCCAAGCCUAUAACACAAACAUAAUAACAUUGUCCUAGCAUUCCAUAGCCCUACUUGACUUGCCUACAAGUCCACAGCAACGAGUUGCCCCGGUCGGACCCUCCAAGUCUAGCCCAGUAGCUUACUGUGGGCUGACGUUAGUGAACAUGGAAUGCAAGCUGUGUGUGUGCUCAUCCCCUUUGAAAAAGGUUCGACUACGACUUGACACACAGACUCCCUCCUGCAACAAAUGCCCAUUUUCUGUACGAGCGUGACGAGCAACAUAAGAGAUCCAGAACCGACCACACCGGCAGAAUUCAUCGUUCAGUUCCUUAAACCUUCAUUUACGGUUUCCCUACAAACAGCUCCAUGCCUUGGAUAUGCGUCUGUUUUCUUCCUUACGAACAUCACAUUUUACGUUCGUCAGGGCAGAGUCUUUGUAGCAAUCUUUCAUAUUCAGCACGCAAUGAACCCUUCAUGGACACCAGCUGCAUUAGCCUGGCUUGUCGUCCUUGCGGCAGCCUGGGCAAAUGGCCCAACGCGAUUUAAGUAUGCUGCUGCUUGCGGCCAAGAAACAAGCAUUCCAAAACUGUCAUAUCAUCCCCUGGUUUCGUUGUAUUUGGUUUGCAUACAAGUCGACGCGGAUACUACCUGCUGUGACCGCCGUAUCAGAAGACACUUUUCCUGUACGGGCGGAACCAACAACAGCGAAGUUCAAAAAACCCGACUAGUAGCUAAAAGUCAGCAUUCAUAGAGUUAAACGUCCCCGUCUGUGACUUGUACAUAACAAUCCAAGCAUCUCCUAAGCGUCUUUCUCCCCCUUCGUAAGGCCAUCGCGUCCACCAACGCACGUCUUACAUCCGCCCAGUACAGUGCCGUUGAAGCUGUGACGAGUAAUAUGAACGCUUAAGUAAUUCAUGAACAUCCGCUGCGUUUGCCUAGCAUUGUCGUAAAGGAGGUCGCGUCGGCAUCAGGCCAUCAACGUUGCGCCCAGGACAACACUUGCUGCAGCCAAGAAACAGAAANNNNNNNNNNNNNNNNNNNNNNNNNNNNNNNNNNNNNNNNNNNNNNNNNNGUUUAAGAUUUUGUUCCGUGGCAGUCCAACAACACGUCUACAUGCUAUUCUUCUGAAGCUGGAUGUGUUACGACCUUCGUAGCACUUAGGGCGCCUGCCGGUGAACGAGGAAUGUUUGCGAAAUUUUGCGAAGCUACGCAGGCGACGGGCGGGCCCCGCACUGGGUACGGAUGGAGCACUGGAAGUCCAGCCAUGAAAUACCAACAGGAUAGCUUUUCGAGAUUUUUCUUUUUAACAAAUUCUAUUACACAGAACAAAUGAUGCGGAUACAUGCCGCAUAAUCCAUGGGAUGCCAUAAGCAGGUCUCCGAUCAUUACCCUGCUGGCAAGAAGUCACCUUUCAUAUUACACGAAUAUUAUGUACAAAUAUAGGAUUGAAGUGCACUGCAGAAGGGCAGCAGAGUUUAUUUGACAUGUUGCACAUGCAAUGUCAUCUGGGCCAGAGGCAUUACAGCAAAGAUUUGGCAUAAUGGUCUGUGUUUGCAAAAUGGUUAUGCAAGCAUAGAAAGCAUUAUUGCUAAUAGGGUGAGCCGUAUCAGAUCUAAGUACGUUCCCCGAACAAACGGGAUGCGCAAUCGACGUUAGACUUUCAGAACCGAGCGAAAAGACAGAAAUCCCUGCUCCGAAUAUUAACGCUUACAGUCCAUCAUCCUUACUUAGCGUUCCAUGCACCGCGGAGCUAACUCUUCAUCCGUUUCCUUCCUUACAAUGCACAUCCGUCAGGGCCAGAGUCUUUGUGGCAAUCUUUCAUAUUCAGCACGCAAUGAACCCUUCAUGGACACCAGCUGCAUUAGCCUGGCUUGUCGUCCUUGCGGCAGCCUGGGCAAAUGGCCCAACGCGAUUUAAGUAUGCUGCUGCUUGCGGCCAAGAAACAAGCAUUUCCAAAACUGUCAUUUAAUCCCCUGGUUUCGUUGUAUUUGGUUUGCAUACAAGUCGACGCGGAUACUACCUGCUGUGACCGCCGUAUCAGAAGACACUUUUCCUGUACGGGCGGAACCAACAACAGCGAAGUUCAAAAAACCCGACUAGUAGCUAAAAGUCAGCAUUCAUAGAGUUAAACGUCCCCGUCCGUGACUUGUACAUAACAAUCCAAGCAUCUCCUAAGCGUCUUUCUCCCCCUUCGUAAGGCCAUCGCGUCCACCAACGCACGUCUUACAUCCGCCCAGUACAGUGCCGUUGAAGCUGCGACGAGUAAUAUGAACGCUUAAGUAAUUCAUGAACAUCCGCUGCGUUUGCCUAGCAGUGUCGUAAAGGAGGUCGCGUCGGCAUCAGGCCAUCAACGUUGCGCCCAGGACAACACUUGCUGCAGCCAAGAAACCCUAAGUAUAUCUCUAUGCGUUCAUCCCCUUAGUCUUAGGGUUGCCCCUAAGACGACGUAGAUACCACCUCCUGACACCGCCGUACCGGAAAGCACUUUUCCGGUACGGGCAGAGCCAGCAGCAUUCCAGGUUCAGAAUUGAACCCAAAGGCAGAAAUCACCAUUCUGAGAGUUGAACGUCGCCAUCCAUGAUUUAGACAUACCAUUCCAUGGCCUGUGCAUGCGCGUCCGUGUCCUUCACUACGUUGCCAUCACGUCCACCAACGCACACUUGACAUCCGUCCUGUCCAGAGCCGUCGUCGCGAGCUUCGACAACAUGAAUGUAAGCAACAUUCGGAACAUCCGUCCUG
rnacentral:lncRNA from 1 species